rnacentral:rRNA from 1 species
GUGGGGAAUAUUGCGCAAUGGGGGCAACCCUGACGCAGCCAUGCCGCGUGAAUGAAGAAGGCCUUCGGGUUGUAAAGUUCUUUCGGUAGCGAGGAAGGCAUUUAGUUUAAUAGACUAGGUGAUUGACGUUAACUACAGAAGAAGCACCGGCUAACUCCGUGCCAGCAGCCGCGGUAAUACGGAGGGUGCGAGCGUUAAUCGGAAUAACUGGGCGUAAAGGGCACGCAGGCGGUGACUUAAGUGAGGUGUGAAAGCCCCGGGCUUAACCUGGGAAUUGCAUUUCAUACUGGGUCGCUAGAGUACUUUAGGGAGGGGUAGAAUUCCACGUGUAGCGGUGAAAUGCGUAGAGAUGUGGAGGAAUACCGAAGGCGAAGGCAGCCCCUUGGGAAUGUACUGACGCUCAUGUGCGAAAGCGUGGGGAGCAAACAGGAUUAGAAACCCUAGUAGUCC